GGAAAUAUCCAUACCACCCUGAAUGCACCCGAUCUUGUCUGAUCUCGGAAGCUAAGCAGGGUCGGGCCUGGUUAGUACUUGGAUGGGAGACAAUUUUCUAGAAUUAAAUGCAAGACUGUAGGGUCAUAUUGACA
rnacentral:rRNA from 1 species